AUUGAACGCUGGCGGCAUGCUUUACACAUGCAAGUCGAGCGGCAGCGCGGGGGCAACCCUGGCGGCGAGCGGCGAACGGGUGAGUAAUGCAUCGGAACGUGUCCUGUAAUGGGGGAUAACGCCGCGAAAGCGGCGCUAAUACCGCAUACGCUCUACGGAGGAAAGUGGGGGAUCCGCAAGGACCUCACGUUAUGGGAGCGGCCGAUGUCCGAUUAGCUAGUUGGUGGGGUAACGGCUCACCAAGGCGACGAUCGGUAGCUGGUCUGAGAGGAUGAUCAGCCACACUGGGACUGAGGCACGGCCCAGACUCCUACGGGAGGCAGCAGCGGGGAAUUUUUGGACAAUGGGGGCAACCCUGAUCCAGCCAUGCCGCGUGCGGGAAGAAGGCCUUCGGGUUGUAAACC
rnacentral:rRNA from 1 species